rnacentral:sRNA from 1 species
GCCGGGCGCGGUGGCGCACGCCUGUAAUCCCAGCAGCUCGGGAGGCUGAGGCAGGAGGAUUGUGAGUUCAAAGCCAGCCUCAGCAAUGGCAAGGCACUAAACAACUCAAUGAGACCCUGUCUCUG